rnacentral:rRNA from 1 species
GAUCCCGCGUCCCAUUAGUUAGUUGGUGAGGUAACGGCUCACCAAGGCAGCGAUGGGUAGCCGGCCUUAGCGGGUGACCGGCCACACUGGGACUGAGAUACGGCCCAGACUCCUACGGGAGGCAGCAGUCGAGAGGCUUCCACAAUGGGGGAAACCCUGAUGGAGCGACGCCGCGUGGGUGAUGAAGGUUUUCGGAUCGUAAAGCCCUUUCAGCAGGGACCAGACGGUACCUGCAAAGAAGCUCCGGCUAACUCCGUGCCAGCAGCCGCGGUAAGACGGAGGGAGCAAGCGUUGUUCGGAUUUACUGGGCGUAAAGGGCGUCUAGGCGGGUUGGCUAGUCAGAUGUGAAAUCCCCCGGCUCAACCGGGGAACUGCAUUUGAUACUGCCAGUCUUGAGUACGGAAGAGGGAAGCGGAAUUCCUGGUGUAGCGGUGAAAUGCGUAGAU